AGAGCCUCGUGCUGUGUCACUAGGUUCCCCAUCCUCAGCUUCUGAGAGCUGCAGACAUGGGGUAGCCCUGUGACACUCCCCCACACAUGUCCUCUGUCACCCACGUGUGGGCCCUAGUUUCCUUCCCAGACAGCAACUACAGCCAGACAUGCUGAGGCCUGCAGAAUUUCUCUUCCCACAUGAAUGACUGGGCCACUCUAUGCACAGCACAGCCCUGUGAGGUUUUCCUGGCAUUUGUUCCUGCCUGUGGCAGUCUGAGAUAUACCGGGACCCUGUAACCUUCAAAUCAGUCAUCUUUCCAACUAAGGACCUCUGGAUUCUUCCAUCCACCACUGCCAUGUCUGAAAACAAGACUUCCUAUGCUUUCCUUCCAUCAUUCCUCACCAUGCAAGCAUUAAUGCUAAUGGAGGGAAGCACAAAAGUAAGAACUGGGGCUGGAGAGAUGGCUCAGAGGUUAAAAGCACUGACUGCUCUUCCAGAGGUCCUGAGUUCAAUUCCCAGCAACCACAUGAUGGCUCACAACCGUCUGCAAUGAGAUCCGAUGCCCUCUUCUGAC
rnacentral:lncRNA from 1 species